rnacentral:tRNA from 1 species
GUUUUAAUAGUUUAUAAAAAAACAUUGGUCUUGUAAACCAAAGAAAAAUAAUGAUUUUUUAAAACU